GACAGAGGUCCCGAGCGUUAGGCGGAAUCACUGGGCUUAAAGCGUGUGUAGGCGGAUGCCUAAGUACCUUGUGAAAUCCCACGGCUCACCCGUGGAACUGCUUGGUAUACUGGGUGUCUUGAGCCACUUAGGGGCUACCGGAACAAAUGGUGGAGCGGUGAAAUGCGCAGAUAUCGGGAAGAACACCCGUGGCUAAGGCGGCUCUCUAGUACGGUACUGACGCUGAGACGCGAAAGCGUGGGGAGCGAACAGG
rnacentral:rRNA from 1 species